rnacentral:rRNA from 1 species
GACGAACGCUGGCGGCGUGCUUAACACAUGCGAGUCGAACGGAAAGGCCCCCUUGUGGGGUACUCGAGUGGCGAACGGGUGAGUAACACGUGAGUAACCUACCCUUGACUUUGGGAUAACUUCAGGAAACUGGGGCUAAUACCGGAUAGGAGCUCCUGCUGCAUGGUGGGGGUUGGAAAGUUUCGGCGGUUGGGGAUGGACUCGCGGCUUAUCAGCUUGUUGGUGGGGUAGUGGCUCACCAAGGCUUUGACGGGUAGCCGGCCUGAGAGGGUGACCGGCCACAUUGGGACUGAGAUAUGGCCCAGACUCCUACGGGAGGCAGCAGUGGGGAAUAUUGCACAAUGGGCGGAAGCCUGAUGCAGCAACGCCGCGUGCGGGAUGACGGCCUUCGGGUUGUAAACCGCUUUCGCCUGUGACGAAGCGUGAGUGACGGUAAUGGGUAAAGAAGCACCGGCUAACUACGUG